rnacentral:rRNA from 1 species
UACGUAGGGUGCAAGCGUUGUCCGGAAUUAUUGGGCGUAAAGCGCUCGCAGGUGGUUCGUCGCGUCGUGCGUGAAAGACCCCGGCUCAACUGGGGAGGGUCGUGCGAUACGGGCGGACUGGAGGCCAGUAGGGGGAUGCGGAAUUCCGGGUGUAGCGGUGAAAUGCGCAGAUAUCAGGAGGAACACCGAUGGCGAAGGCAGGUCUCUGGGCAUUAACUGACGCUGAGGAGCGAAAGCAUGGGGAGCGAACAGG